GACGAACGCUGGCGGCGUGCUUAACACAUGCAAGUCGAACGGAAAGGCCUGCUUUCCCUUGUGGAUUGCGGGUACUCGAGUGGCGAACGGGUGAGUAACACGUGAGUGAUCUGCCCCCAACUUGGGUAUAAGCCUGGGAAACUGGGUCUAAUUCCCGAUAGGACUGCAGGGUGGUGCCUGUGGUGGAAAACGAUUUUCUAGUGGUUGGGGAUGAGCUCGCGGCCUAUCAGCUUGUUGGUGGGGUAAUGGCCUACCAAGGCGGCGACGGGUAGCCGGCCUGGGAGGGUGGACGGCCACAUUGAGACUGAGAUACGGCCCAGACUCCUACGGGAGGCAGCAGUGGGGAAUAUUGCACAAUGGGCGGAAGCCUGAUGCAGCGACGCCGCGUGGGGGAUGACGGCCUUCGGGUUGUAAACUCCUUUCGACCGCGAGGAAGCCACCUGGUUGGAAGGGUGGUGACGGUAGUGGUAGAAGAAGCACCGGCUAACUACGUG
rnacentral:rRNA from 1 species